CCUACGGGAGGCAGCAGUGGGGAAUAUUGCACAAUGGGCGAAAGCCUGAUGCAGCAACGCCGCGUGAGCGAUGAAGGCCUUCGGGUCGUAAAGCUCUGUCCUCAAGGAAGAUAAUGACGGGACUUGAGGAGGAAGCCCCGGCUAACUACGUUCCAGCAGCCGCGGUAAUAAGUGGGGGGCUAGCGUUAUCCGGAAUUAUUGGGCGUAAAGGGGGAGUAGGAGGUUUUUUAAGGCCGAGGGGAAUGGCUACGGCUCAAACGUAGUAAGCCUUUGAAACUGGGGAACUUGAGUGCAGGAGAGGAGAGUGGAAUUCCUAGUGUAGCGGUGAAAUGCGUAGAUAUUAGGAGGAACACCAGUUGCGAAGGCGGCUCUCUGGACUGUAACUGACACUGAGGCACGAAAGCGUGGGGAGCAAACAGGAUUAGAUACCCGUGUAGUC
rnacentral:rRNA from 1 species